GACGAACGCUGGCGGCGUGCUUAACACAUGCAAGUCGAACGGAAAGGCCCUGCUUGCAGGGUACUCGAGUGGCGAACGGGUGAGUAACACGUGUGUGAUCUGCCCUGCACUUCGGGAUAAGCCUUGGAAACUGGGUCUAAUACCGGAGAGGAGCCAUUUUUAGUGUGGUGGUUGGAAAGUUUUUUCGGUGUAGGAUGAGCUCGCGGCCUAUCAGCUUGUUGGUGGGGUAAUGGGCUACCAAGGCGGCGACGGGUAGCCGGCCUGCGAGGGGGGACGGCCAACUUGGGACUGGGAUACCGCCCAGACUCCUACGGGAGGCAGCAGUGGGGAAUAUUGCACAAUGGGCGGAAGGCUGAUGCAGCGACGCCGCGGGGGGGAUGACGGCCUUCGGGUUGUAAACUCCUUUCGCUAGGGACGAAGCUUUUUGUGACGGUACCUAGAUAAGAAGCACCGGCUAACUACGUG
rnacentral:rRNA from 1 species